rnacentral:tRNA from 1 species
UUAGUUCAGUCGGUUAGAACAACGGACUGUUAAUCCGUGUGUCGCAGGUUCGAGUCCCGCA